AUUGAACGCUGGCGGCAGGCCUAACACAUGCAAGUCGAGCGAGCGGCGGACGGGUGAGUAAUGUAUGGGGACUGCCCGAUAGAGGGGGAUAACUACUGGAAACGGUAGCUAAUACCGCAUACUAUCGGAUAACCCAUAUGGGAUUAGCUAGUAGGUGAGGUAAUGGCUCACCUAGGCGACGAUCCCUAGCUGGUCUGAGAGGAUGAUCAGCCACACUGGGACUGAGACACGGCCCAGACUCCUACGGAGGCAGCAGUGGGGAAUAUUGCACAAUGGGCGCAAGCCUGAUGCAGCCAUGCCGCGUGUAUGAAGAAGGCCCUAGGGUUGUAAAGUACUUUCAGUCGGGAGGCGUUACCAACAGAAUAAGCACCGGCUAACUUCGUGCCAGCAGCCGCGGUAAUUC
rnacentral:rRNA from 1 species